rnacentral:rRNA from 1 species
UCGAACGGAACACCCUUGAAGGAGUUUUCGGACAACUGAGAGGACUGUUUAGUGGCGGACGGGUGAGUAACGCGUGAGUAACCUGCCUUGGAGUGGGGAAUAACACAGAGAAAUUUGUGCUAAUACCGCAUAAUGCAGCUGAGUCGCAUGGCUCUGGCUGCCAAAGAUUUAUCGCUCUGAGAUGGACUCGCGUCUGAUUAGCUAGUUGGCGGGGUAACGGCCCACCAAGGCGACGAUCAGUAGCCGGACUGAGAGGUUGGCCGGCCACAUUGGGACUGAGACACGGCCCAGACUCCUACGGGAGGCAGCAGUGGGGAAUAUUGGGUAAUGGGCGCAAGCCUGACCCAGCAACGCCGCGUGAAGGAAGAAGGCUUUCGGGUUGUAAACUUCUUUUCUCAGGGACGAAGCAAGUGACGGUACCUGAGGAAUAAGCCACGGCUAACUACGUGCCAGCAGCCGCGGUAAUACGUAGGUGGCAAGCGUUAUCCGGAUUUACUGGGUGUAAAGGGCGUGUAGGCGGGAAAGCAAGUCAGAUGUGAAAACCAUGGGCUCAACCUGUGGCCUGCAUUUGAAACUGUUUUUCUUGAGUACUGGAGAGGCAGACGGAAUUCCUAGUGUAGCGGUGAAAUGCGUAGAUAUUAGGAGGAACACCAGUGGCGAA